rnacentral:rRNA from 1 species
UAGGGAAUCUUCCGCAAUGGGCGAAAGCCUGACGGAGCAACGCCGCGUGAGUGAUGAAGGUCUUCGGAUCGUAAAACUCUGUUAUUAGGGAAGAACAAAUGUGUAAGUAACUAUGCACGUCUUGACGGUACCUAAUCAGAAAGCCACGGCUAACUACGUGCCAGCAGCCGCGGUAAUACGUAGGUGGCAAGCGUUAUCCGGAAUUAUUGGGCGUAAAGCGCGCGUAGGCGGUUUUUUAAGUCUGAUGUGAAAGCCCACGGCUCAACCGUGGAGGGUCAUUCGAAACUGGAAAACUUGAGUGCAGAAGAGGAAAGUGGAAUUCCAUGUGUAGCGGUGAAAUGCGCAGAGAUAUGGAGGAACACCAGUGGCGAAGGCGACUUUCUGGUCUGUAACUGACGCUGAUGUGCGAAAGCGUGGGGAUCAAACAGG